rnacentral:lncRNA from 1 species
UGGGAGAAAUGGUGCAGGUCCUGGUGGAGGUGGAAAUGGGGGUGGAGGAAGUGGAGGUGGCGGAUUUGGAGGUGCUGGGGGUGGAUACGGGCCUGUAGAUUCCCCAGUUUUCAUCUUCCCCAUCGCUGAUGAUUUAGCUGGACAAGGUCCUUAUCCCCCUUCUCCUCCAGCUGAUCCCUCCAGUCCUACUAUCUUCAUUAUCCCUGAUGGUAAAGGACAACCAGUAAAUGGUGGAUAUGAUGUUAUCCCCAUCGGCUUCCAGAAAGCUCCCAAAUCUACCAGCAGUGACAGGAGAGGAAGUGUGGGACAGUCAUCUUCCUACAGACCCAACAUGCAAAGGUCCAGUCAGGGAAGCAGAUCACCCAGAAGCACAAUAGUGCAAAAGGGAUAAGUAAAGUGAUAAAAGACCAUUGAGAGAGCCACAGGAAAGUGAUUUUCAACAUAUUCAUGUACUCACCUACUUUAACACCAACUCAUAAUAAUGUGACUUCAGCAAUAAACACAGAGCUAUGCAUGUUUCUUCUAUAUUUUGUUAAUGAAUAAUCAAAAGUAUUGAUAAAGAAGACACUAAUUGUAUUUCCACAUCACCAAAAGUAAUGUUUUUAUCUUUGCUACUCUUGAAAACGUCUAUGCAUAUAUUCCAUUUUAUUCCUAAAAUUUAAAAUCACCUUAUUAAAUGUAAUUACCUCACUAUUAAAAACAUAGAGUAUGUUGAAUACAGAAAAUGCAGAAAUGUGAACUUUUCGGAUAAUAUAAUAAUUCUCAAGGAACUCAGGCUUAAACCAAAUUGUCUUGCAAUGAAAUUAUUUGCUGUUUCAUAGCUGGAACUCUGUGCCUUUGUGUUUCUUUGGACACCACUCUGUGUAAAAGACAUUUAUUUGUUAAUGUAUUUGCUAACAAAGUCUUCUGAAGUGUUAAAAAUAAAAUGUAAAUAACAAUAUUCCCCCAGUUAUUUGCCUUUGUGUUGGAGCUGAUCCAGUUAGGUAGAAUUUAUUCCUCAUACAGAGUAUGUGUUAAAUAUACCAGACUUUACAUUAUACAUUUUCAUAUUGUAGUAAAUGAAGGCUUAACUAUGAAAAAAUAUAUUUUAAGUUAACAGACUUUCACUAUCAUAAAUGUCAACACAUCAGCAAUGACGUCAAGUAUAAAUAUGUAGAAAAAAAAAACAUUGGUGCUGUUUUAUCUAAAGAAUCUAAUUUUCAUUUAACUAAAAGACCAGUUUAUUAAAAGAUCUCAAGUUGAAGUAGAAAGAAAUUAUAAAUAUUAUUGAAUACAAUACUAAAU